GUUGUAACCAACUUGAGCAGAAUAAUGCAGCUGGAUAUUGCUAUAUACUGCCUUAGAGCAGAAACCUGAUGCUCCAUAUUUAUUAUUAGUUUCUGGGGUUGGUUUUGCGAUUCCACCUCUUCUUGGGCUGUCUUGUUGCUUGCAAUGAGAAGGCUAAUUACCAUGUUAGCAGUUCUAGUCUCUGGUAAAAGGAGGCAAGCUGCUGUAAUGAUUCCCAUGAAGCUGUACAGCAACUGGAGGUGCAGAGAGCAGAGCCAUUAGAAUUGCUCACACAGGUGGUGGAGAACAGCUGAAUGCCUGCAGGAAAUAAAACCUGUAUCAGAGCUCCUUCAAGGGAAACAAGUGUUCCGUUUUCCAGUAGGCUGGCUGAAGAAUCUUCAGUUUACAGACAGGAGAGCGUAUACACACAAGGUAAUGUUUUCCAUUCGUAAUAAAAUAGAACCUUUCUUCAAGAAACUGCUUUUGUUGAUAGAAAAUAAUAAUUGGGAUAAUACCACCCUGUUUGAUUUUCUUACAAACUUGAGAUGAAUGCAAAAACAAAAUAACACUUCAGGGGCAGUGUUAGCUGCAAAAAAAUACAAAAAGCCCUGUAACAGCUACCUGAUAAAGAAAUGGUAGGGAUGAUCCUCACAUCAGUAUUUACAUUAGGCUGUGUUCAUCUCUUUGUCAGAAAAAAAAACCCAUACAUUAAAGAUAAAACCCAAAUAAUUAGAUGAGAGAAAGACUCAUGUAACUAUGCACCUCUAAGAUGGGUAUUUAGAAAUGCUUGAUUAGCAGGGGAAGAAAUAAAGUCCUUCAGCAAAGGAAUAUCAGACACUGCUUUUUCUCCUAAGAACUGGAAACUGCAUUUAAAAUUUAAAAUGGUCAAGUACUGUUCAAAAGUCAUGUCCUCUGCCACCUAGUUUCACAGAUUAUAUUGCUUUACCAGGUGUAUGAGAGAGAUUUAAAACUAGCGUAUCUUGCUUGUGUCUUUAGCCAUACUAUCCAAGAUAGGAUUACAGAAAUAAUUCACACUUUUAUUUCAUGUAUUCAGUGCAAUGAAUUCAUGCAAUGGAUUCAUUUUGGCCAGGGUGGGGGGAAAAAAAAGCUGUAUCUGCCUUUGCUACAGUACUUUGUGAUUCACUUUCUACUUAGCAUUUGAAGUAAGAUACAGGUAUGCACAGCCUAAGCAGGCUACAAUGUCUGCAGAACUCAUCCAAGACACUAAAUGACCUGUAAUUAUUCUUCUGAGAGUUGAAUUUGUGCUUCAGAACACAAGAAGGGUUCAGAGAUUGAAAAUUCAUUUCAGGUUUGUAAAAUGAAACUCUCUGCUUUAUAAGGGUUAGCAUCCUAGACCAAAGCAUUAAAUACAUACCUUUUAGUUAUCCUAGUUCUUACAGGUUUCUUCUCCUAGUGCACUACCUACAUUGCCAGCAUGUUCUACAGCAGCUGUUUUCAUUCCGUAUUAGGCUUGCCAUAUUUCUUCCAGAGUACAUCAAAAGCUUUUAGUAUUGAAAGUUUUUGAUGCAGAGGGGAAAACAGUUAAAAGGGCCUCAGAUUUGGGAAUGUAGCAGUGAAAUACACCAGAUGCUUAGCAAUCAGGAUUUUAGGAUGAGCAUGAAGUUUGCAUAACCAGCCUAUUCUCUUUCCUGGCUUUUCGUUAAUUUCCACAGGAGCUAAGAAAAUGUUACCUGGAACUGCUGGACUCCUGGAAUGCUGUUGUGAGAAGGUAGAGAUCAUUGUGCUGAUCCCAUCCCUUUUUGUCCCCUGGAACCAUCAACUCGCCAAUGGGGGUCCCUCCAUUGGUAAGUGUACUGUCCCAUUCAGGUUCAAAGGCAGGAAUGGAAGGUCAAAUUGCCUCAUCCGUCAUGUCAUCACUUUUGUUUGAGCUUGAAUUUUUUACACUUUUUACAGGUCUAUUCAACCCACAUUGCUUGUAUAAACUGCACAGUUCAUUAGUAGGGAUCCCGUCAAUUUUAUCUCAGUCCAUCCCAUCUUUCAACAAGGCAACAAACAUUUGUUUUUGAGAGAUUCAAUUCUCUUUCACUUUGCCACUCCUGUUCUUGCCUCUUGCAUUUUGUUUGGGUCCCCAUUCCCCCAAAUCUUCUAACAGCUGGAUCUUUUUUAUGACUUCUCCUAUGGGGUUUCCUGUUUCUUUUAUCAAUAAAAUCAUAAUAAUACUUU